rnacentral:rRNA from 1 species
GAUGUCUACUUGGAGGUUGUGCCCUUGAGGCGUGGCUUCCGGAGCUAACGCGUUAAGUAGACCGCCUGGGGAGUACGGCCGCAAGGUUAAAACUCAAAUGAAUUGACGGGGGCCCGCACAAGCGGUGGAGCAUGUGGUUUAAUUCGAUGCAACGCGAAGAACCUUACCUGGUCUUGACAUCCACAGAAGAAUCCAGAGAUGGAUUUGUGCCUUCGGGAACUGUGAGACAGGUGCUGCAUGGCUGUCGUCAGCUCGUGUUGUGAAAUGUUGGGUUAAGUCCCGCAACGAGCGCAACCCUUAUCCUUUGUUGCCAGCGGUCCGGCCGGGAACUCAAAGGAGACUGCCAGUGAUAAACUGGAGGAAGGUGGGGAUGACGUCAAGUCAUCAUGGCCCUUACGACCAGGGCUACACACGUGCUACAAUGGCGCAUACAAAGAGAAGCGACCUCGCGAGAGCAAGCGGACCUCAUAAAGUGCGUCGUAGUCCGGAUUGGAGUCUGCAACUCGACUCCAUGAAGUCGGAAUCGCUAGUAAUCGUGGAUCAGAAUGCCACGGUGAAUACGUUCCCGGGCCUUGUACACACCGCCCGUCACACCAUGGGAGUGGGUUGCAAAAGAAGUAGGUAGCUUAACCUUCGGGAGGGCGCUUACCACUUUGUGAUUCAUGACUGGGGUGAAGUCGUAACAAGGUAACCGUAGGGGAACCUGC